rnacentral:rRNA from 1 species
GUCCUUUUGUUUAUUAUAUAAGGUUUAACCUGCCCACUGAUUUUAUUAAAUGGCCGCAGUAAUUUGACUGUGCAAAGGUAGCAUAAUCAUUAGUUUUUUAAUUAAAAGCUUGUAUGAAUGGUUGGAUGAGGUAAAAUCUGUCUCUAUUUAAUUAAAAUUAGAAUUUAAUUUUUAAGUUAAAAAGCUUAAAUAAUUAUAAAAGACGAGAAGNCCCUAUAGAUCUUUAUAUUAAAUUAAAUAAUUUUAUUUAAGAUUUAUAUAAUUUUUAUUUAUUUUAUUAUUUUAUUGGGGUAAUAAAAAGAUUAAAUUAAUUCUUUUUUUAAUUUUUAAUAUAAAUUAAUAGUUUUUUGAUCCAUUUUUUAUGAUUAAAAGAUUAAGUUACCUUAGGGAUAACAGCGUAAUUCUUUUAAAGAGUUCUUAUCGAUAAAAAAGUUUGCGACCUCGACGGUGG